AACGAACGCUGGCGGCAUGCCUAACACAUGCAAGUCGAACGAAGGCUUCGGCCUUAGUGGCGCACGGGUGCGUAACGCGUGGGAAUCUGCCCUUUGGUUCGGAAUAACAGCUGGAAACGGCUGCUAAUACCGGAUGAUGACGAAAGUCCAAAGAUUUAUCGCCAGAGGAUGAGCCCGCGUUGGAUUAGGUAGUUGGUGGGGUAAAGGCCUACCAAGCCGACGAUCCAUAGCUGGUCUGAGAGGAUGAUCAGCCACACUGGGACUGAGACACGGCCCAGACUCCUACGGGAGGCAGCAGUGGGGAAUAUUGGACAAUGGGCGCAAGCCUGAUCCAGCAAUGCCGCGUGAGUGAUGAAGGCCCUAGGGUUGUAAAGCUCUUUUACCCGGGAAGAUAAUGACUGUACCGGGAGAAUAAGCCCCGACUAACUCCGUG
rnacentral:rRNA from 1 species